ensembl:lncRNA
GGGCAGUGUCUCAAGCCUGAAGGAGGAAAUGGAACCAGAGGCAUCAGGGCCUCUGGCCAGGAGGGAAGGGAUAUAGGGAGGAUGAAAUAGUUAAGGAUCGAACCCCAGGUUGACAUCAUUGUCAUUCAGAUGGGCCUAUGCCUGAGGACCCAUCUCUCUUCUGAUGUGCAUGGGGGUAAAUGAAGUGGACAGGGGUAUCACAGAAGAUAGGGCGGCCUUCCCUAAUUGCCAGCUUCACCUAGACCUUGAUCACCGUCAUCUCUGAAGCCUCAUCAUUGCACCUGGAAAAGUUUUUGGCUUCACUAUGACUUUGAAGUGAACUUUAACUUCUAAAAGAAAUCUGUGAUGACACAAUAGGCAGGCUUUUAGACUAAGAUAAAUCAACUAAGAUAAAUCCAGAGAAGGCAAUGGCACCCCAAUCCAGUACUCUUGCCUGGAAAAUUCCAUGGAUGGAGGAGCUGGUAGGCUGCAGUCCACGGGGUUGCUAAGAGUCAGACACAACUGAGCGGCUUCUUUCACUUUUCACUUUCAUGCAUUGAAGAAGGAAAUGGCAACCCACUCCAGUGUUCUUGCCUGGAGAAUCCCAGGGACGGGGGAGCCUGUUGGGCUGCCAUCUAUGAAGUCACACAGAGUCAGACACGACUGAAGUGACUUAGCAGCAAGAUAAAUCCUAUAAAACUUUUAACACAAUACCUGGCAAAUUGAGAGAGAUGAGGAAUAGAAAUUCAUGAUAAUGAAUGAGGUUGAAUAUGUAGAUAUCAUUUCCCUUUGUACAUUUCCCUCUGUACGUGAAUUUGUAAUUUAAUAAAAUGUUUACAAUCUCUUCC